UCUUCUGUUAGAGAAUUCAGUUAACAACUGAUACUCCGCUGUGUCCAAAAUGAAACAAAUUAUAUAUAUUUCCAUGGUGGAAAUAAGCAGAUCUUCUAACAUGUGCGAGUACCCUAAUCCUGGAUGCUGAGCAGAUUCAUUCAGUUUCUCAAAGAGGAAAAUUAUUGUGUGGAGGAACUGAUUUCUCAGUUUAUCAGUUGUUUAACUCAACAGAAAUUAUAAAGAGCCAUGGGGAUAAUCUUAGAUGUCUGAGGAUUUGUAUCUACAGUUCUAUGUAAAGCAGAUACUCUAAUAUCCCCAAAAGCCAUGCUGACUUCUACAGCGUUCUAUGUGACUCCACCAUCAGUUGUGUUGGGCUGAAUGCUGCUGUGCAGCAGGACGUAGCUACUAUGUUGUCACUGCUCGCAGCAGGUUUAAUGUCCUCUACAAUAAGGAAAGGUAUAGGAUUAGAUUUAAUUUCUUUCUAAUCGCUUUUCUCUGACUGGUAUUUGGGUUUUAUAAGCCUAUAAUGUGUUGUGCAGUUCAGUAUGUGUUGGUGAACAAAGCACAGUCAUCAGUAAAGAUGGCUGAUCCUCAGCCUUUGAUUUUGCUUUGGGUUUCUGCAAGGUGAAAACACCAUCUGGUAAAUGAAUGUGAAUCUUCUUUUGCUGCUGUAUAAACAAUAUUGCUGCACAAAUUAUGGAGAAGAGGCAAAUAUAACGUUAGCUGGUGAAAACAUGAAUUAUUGCAAUAGUCUGCUGCGAUGAGGAACCCUCAUCUCUAUGCCAUGAAAUUAGUGAACGAUAUUCAUAAAACUGUCUGGACAACAGGAGUUCUGCAAAAAAAAAAAAAACAACCUCCUAAAACAUUCAUAACUUACCUCAGCAGCUUUCAUCUGAUACAGACCAUAUGUAUGUCUUUAUUUUGCUAUACACUUCACCUGACUUCUCUUGGCUUCAGAAAGUGAUUAACCAGUCAGGCCUCCGUCAUGUUGAAAACACAACUGCCCUUCAGAAACAGAUUCUCAGCAAGUUCUCUAAUGAGGCAGAUGCCUGCUGGUUUUCCAAGGACUGUUACUGAGUCUGAGCACACUGAAAUACAGUAGUUGGUCUAAGGCAUGACUGAUGAUUUUUCCAGUUUUGUAAAUGGAAGAACAUAGUUUACCUUACUGAGAUUCCUGAGAACAGUUCCUUCUCUCCACCUGUAGCAUGACCAGCUGCAGAAAACCAUCAACACGUCAUUUUAUAGGAAUAGCCAUCAAGCCUUUUGUUUCACCUAGUGACAUCCAUUUGAUGGCUUUGCGAGCACAAAUGUAUUGGGGUUGAUAGUUGCUGCUGAGUAGGCAGCUUUGAGGUUUCUUACAGCGCUUCAUCAAAGAUGACAGAUUAUUAAAUAAACUUCCAAGCCAAGAAUUUUUUUCCCUGUCAGUUGUGUUUCACUUUCACUACAGUGAAAUGGCUUGACACCCCUACCUUUACAACUAUGACCAGUUUUUAAGUCUGAAGAGCUGCUUUCUUUUUCCUGACCUAUAGCUUGUUAUUGUUCUUCUGUUUGUUUGUUAUUAUUGUUGGUAAUGGUGGGUUUCUUCCCAUGCUUUAUCUUGAAGAAAGCAAAAUUUUCUUGUUAUGCUUGGCUAUUUGGCAAAGAUCUAGUUUUUCCAUUCAUUCUAUACAUAAAUCAUCUAUAGAUGUUCAUAAGCUAAUACAGUAUCUAUUUUCAACAAAACCAUCUAGAUAUUUCCACAUAACAAUGCUAUCCACCUUUGCUUUGAUGUUGUCCAUUGUCCCUGAGUCUUUUUCAUUAGCCAUUUUCUUCAUUUGAAAUAGAAGAGCAACAGACUGAAUUUUGGUUGCCUCUUAACAUAUGCAGUUUUGAAUCAUUCAACAUUUAAUAUCUUAAUGGCUUUCACUCCCUUGACAACUGAUUCCUGAUUUCACUGUUGAGGCCUGACAUUUACAGCUUGCAUGGGCAAUGUAAUUCUGACAUCAUGAACGUACAAUUGGUGUGUAAUGAUGCUUUUAAUAAGACUGUGGAUCU
rnacentral:lncRNA from 7 species